rnacentral:rRNA from 1 species
GACGAACGCUGGCGGCGUGCUUAACACAUGCAAGUCGAACGGAAAGGCCCUGCUUUUGUGGGGUGCUCGAGUGGCGAACGGGUGAGUAACACGUGAGUAACCUGCCCUUGACUUUGGGAUAACUUCAGGAAACUGGGGCUGAUACCGGAUAGGAGCUCCUGCUGCAUGGUGGGGGUUGGAAAGUUUCGGCGGUUGGGGAUGGACUCGCGGCUUAUCAGCUUGUUGGUGGGGUAGUGGCUUACCAAGGCUUUGAUGGGUAGCCGGCCUGAGAGGGUGACCGGCCACAUAGGGACUGAGAUAGGGGCAAGAAUCCAAAGGGAGGCAGGAGUGGGAAAUUUUGCACAAUGGGCGGAAGCCUUAUGCAGCAACGCCGCGUGCGGGAUGACGGCCUUCGGGUUGUAAACCGCUUUCGCCUGUGACGAAGCGUGAGUGACGGUAAUGGGUAAAGAAGCACCGGCUAACUACGUG